CUUCACAACACAUAACCCGGUCCAGUCGAGCCUCACUAGCCAGAUGAAGCUAGUUGGCUGCUUAUAACGGAAACUUUCGGCAACAGGGGGCUGAGUCACUGGCUUACUGGUGCUCUUCCAUGCCAUCCUUAGGAGGGGUGCAUUACUUGAGUGUGUUGAGUCGCUGAUGUGGUCUUCCUGUCUGGGUUGGCGUCCCCCCUUGGGUUGUGCCGUGGCGGAGAUCUUUGUGAGCUAUACUCGACCUUGUCUCAGGAUGGACCUGAGCCCUAGGACCAUGCCUCGGAAAUACCUGGCAUGAUGACUUCUUGCUGUCCCCAGUCCACCUGGCCGUGCUGCUGCUCCAGUUUAGUUUCAACUGUUCAACUGCCUGCGGUUCAACUGCGGCUAUGGAACCCUGACCUGUUCACCGGACAUGCUACCUUCCCAGACCUGCUGUUUUCAACUCUCUAGAGACAACAGGAGCAGUAGAGAUACUUUCAAUUAUCGGCUAUGAAAAGCCAACUG